rnacentral:misc_RNA from 1 species
UCUCCGUUGGUGAACCAGCGGAGGGAUCAUUACUGAGUUACCGCUCUACAACCCUUUGUGAACAUACCUAACUGUUGCUUCGGCGGGCAGGGGUCCCUCGCGGAUCUCUCCCGGCAACGCCCUCACGUGCGGAGCGCCCGCCGGAGGAUACCAAACUCUAUUUUAACGACGUUUCUUCUAAGUGGCACAAGCAAAUAAUUAAAACUUUUAACAACGGAUCUCUUGGUUCUG